UUGGACAUCUCAUGAUCAAUCCCUUGCUCUUUUUUAUUUUUAGAUCCUCUUCUCCUCCUUCUCUAUUCCUCCUCUUGAUCCUCUCUUACUUUGGAGUGUCCAAGGUACUUGAAGAAGGAGAAACAAAUCAGCUAUCGAAGUUGCUUGCACACUAGCACCUCUAAGUUCUUAAUCUAUACCUGUCUUCACGUGAAUCUUUCUGUAGAGGCUAGAUGACUCUGUGUGGCUGUGAGCGACCUGAGGAAUAUCUUCUCCAAU
rnacentral:lncRNA from 1 species